CCCAUCAGCGCAUCAUUCACCUGCAGAUCAUCGAAGCACUGCUCGCUUGCUCGCCGAGGAAGCAAGGAACUAACAGGAACAAUCUUUUGAGCAAUGGCGGCAGGGCUGCAGGUGUUCGGACAGCCGGCGUCCACCGACGUGGCGAGGGUCCUGACCUGCCUCUUCGAGAAGAACCUCGAGUUCGAGCUCGUCCGCAUCGACACCUUCAAGAAGUCGCACAAGCUCCCCGAGUUCAUCAAGCUACGGGUAUGCCAUUUCGAUCCAUCCAUUCUGUUUCUUUUGGUUUUCAUUCAGGAGUCAGCAAGAUCAGAUUUUAAGCUGUUCUCUUCCCUCCAGGAUCCAACUGGCCAGGUGACUUUCAAACAUGGUGACAAAACUGUUGUCGGUAAGAACAUAAAUCUAAGCAAGAUCAAGAUUGUAAUGAAAUGAAAUGAAUGGCAUUGUAACCAAACUGUUAUCCUUCAAUCAAUUCUCUGAUGGCAGAUUCGAGGGCCAUCUGCCGCUACCUGUGCACCCAUUUCCCGGAGGACGGCAACAAGAUGCUGUACGGCACGGGCUCUCUGGAGCGGGCGUCGAUAGAGCAGUGGCUGCAGGCGGAGGCCCAUAGCUUCGACGCCCCGAGCUCGGAGCUCGUCUUCCACCUCGCGUUCGCGCCGCACCUCAAGGACGUGAACCCCGACGAGGCCCGCAUCGCGGAGAACGAGAAGAAGCUCCAGAACAUGCUGGGCGUUUACGACGAGAUCCUUUCCAAGCACAACUUCCUGGCCGGCGACGAGUUCACCCUGGCCGACCUGUCCCACCUCCCCAACUCCCACUACAUCGUCAACUCCUCCGACAGGGGCAAGAAACUCUUCACCGCCAAGAAGCACGUGGCCAAGUGGU
rnacentral:lncRNA from 1 species